GGAUUAGGUGUCGCAAGACUUAAUAGGGAAACCGGUAUAAGCCGGUGCGGUCCCGCCACUGUAACAGCGAGCAAGCCUGUAUAGAUAUGUCACUGGGGAAACCUGGGAAGGCGCAGGCAAGCGAUGAACUGGAGCCAGGAGAACUGCCUGAUUAGC
rnacentral:ncRNA from 1 species